rnacentral:lncRNA from 12 species
CCCCCCCCCCCCCCCCCCCCCCCCCCCCCCCCCCCCCCCCCCCCCCCCCCCCCCCCCCCCCCCCCGUAGCCCUGCGAGCCCGGCGGCGGGGAGGGCGGCGGGGACUUGCAGUGGAUCUUCAUGUGCUUCCGCAGGGAGCUGGGCUCCGGAACCGACCCUUCCUCAUAGUUCCCGAAUAGGGCUGGCUGAAUGCCUAUUGCUGAAACACCGGAGGAAAAAGAAAGAAGUGCCAGAUCCCUGUACCGAACCUUCCUACAGCAAGUUUUUCUCACUCCACCAUGCCACACGUGAGUCCAGCACAGACAGACCUGCACUGAUAAUCUUGGUCAUGACUAUCGCAACUCUUGAGUCGGUUUAGACAUGGCUGAUGCAUAUUUUCAGAUGUGUUUUGCUCUGAGGGAUCAGAAACAACAAUCCAGCAGCUCUCUCGGUGGACAUUUUCUCCUUACCACCAAGCGAUUUUUACUGCUCCUCCCGUUUAUAAGAUCGUAUCAUGUUUAUUAUUUAUCAAAAUAAUAAUGGAAAUAAGAAAACUAUUUUUAUUUUUAGAAGCAAUUUCUUGGCU